CUUGAGGGACAGACACGGAUGUACAAAGACAAAAAUAUGAACAAAUAUUUGAGUAAUUUAUUUGGACCUGGAAGUAUGGCGGUUUCCACUCCUAGACCUAAGAGAAUGGACAGUCUGGCUGUCAAUCACUGCAGGCCCUCCAAGCUGACGUCUGAAGGCGGGGCCAUUGAAGGAUGGCAAGCACCCGGCAAUGAAGCCCUACCACGUGAGCAGGCCGAUGACGGUUUGGAUUGUGCAAUGAGGCUUCCGUAGACCGCUCCCCUCAGUGAUGACAAAAUAUGGCGGGUACUGUGGAUAUAUGGCGGGUACUGUGGAUAUAUGGCGGUUGACAAUGCUCCGAUCUCACAAGUGCUGCAUGAUUGGGUCCUCUGGCCCCACCAACCACUUUGAGAAAUUGCUCUGGAUGAGGGAAAGAGGAAGUUUGCCCCAUCCACUCGUGUUGUGAGUUUCCAAGUGGCCUAAUUUUCCUGCAGUGGUCCCAAGCUGACCUUCCACAGGUAAGUCUCUUUGUAGAUUUGUACAAUCAUCACCUCCCUCAGGAUCUGUGAUGGGAACGUCCAGUUCUGGUCAGCCGGUGGGCCCGUAAUGAGAGGAGAGGACCCUGAACCAAUCGUCAAGGCCAGCCAUACAGAUGUCGCCGAGACCGUGUCACCCAUCGUGUUUCGUUCACAAUAAGUUUCCAGUAUGUGAGUCUGAAAGACCCUCGGCCCUUUCUUCCUGUCAUCUCUGAGCCUCAGCUUCCACAUCUGCAAAAUGGAAAUGACACCUUGCUCUUGCUCUCAGGCGUGGUGUGAAAAUCAAGCGUGAUCAUCUUUAUGAAGUGCUCAGCACACAGGAGGGCCAGCAACUAUUCUCAGAGGGUCUUGGGCAUCUCUUUGGAAAUGGACCUCUUUAACUCUGCUGUGAUGCCAGGAGGUAGCCCAGCAUCCCAGACCCUGCCUUUCUCUGAGCUGCAUUCUUUCCUGGCUGCCUUGGACGUCUGACAUUGAAGCUGAUGUCACUCAGCGUCAAGUUGGGGCUGGAGGGUGCCUGGUAACUGGCAGUGCCCAAAGGUCUCCUCUCUUUCCUUCUCUGUAUAAAGUUACUUCUUUUCUGGGCAGUGGUUAAUUUGGGGAAAAUCAGGUGAAGACUUUGACGGUUGGGUGUGAGAGUGUUAAGCAUAAAGACGAAUGGCUCUAAGGUGCAUUCAAAGACCCUUGUGACCUCUAGUGUCAGACACACCUCUGGUUCCUCUGUUGCUUUGUUCGCACCAGUUCUAUCCAGAAGGUGGCAUCACAGAGCCUGAUGUGCACUCCCCAAAGUCCAAACGAUCCACAUUUCUUUGUGGUUAGACACUAACGUAUGUAGCCUUUACACAGCAUGUUGACAUUUCAAAGACUUUUCAUUUAUCCCUGUACUUGGUUCAGUUACUUUCAAGCCGUGGGAGAUGGGGGUCAUUACAACUUCCUACCCAGUGAAAACCUGAGACGUGAGGUACUUACAAAACUCUGUGCCCCAACGCAUGUUCCUUCCCCAGGCGGUAGGUACAAAAGUGAACAAGAAUGGCUUGUCUGCUUGUCAAAAGCAGUUGUACAACUUAAUAACCGUGAUGCCUCCUCCUUCUUCCACACACACUUGUGCCCACUGCCCAUCAAAGUCAUGUUGGGUCAUUUCAUUGGGGGGAGGGAUGGGGAAGACGUAGAUGAAUGUUUUGUGGGUAAGACUUCUGAGUACUGGCACUUAACAAAAUAAGACCCAAGGUUGAAGCUUCCAAAAGGGUGACUGUUUAAUUGGUGGCAUCUCAAACGCAGGACCCUGAGGGAAAGACAAGGUGACCCUCCCAAUUUAAGGUGGGGUCUGGCUUGGUGGCUCUUUCCCAGGAGUCCACUCUGGAGCCUGCCACAUCAGUUGCGUUAUGAGGCCUGUACUCCGUGAAUGUGUACUUCCCAGCGGGGAUGUUAAUGAGUUAUGAAUUCUUGGUGUGAGGUAUUUCAUGUCAAACCCUGUUAGCCUGAAGUGGAUUUUCAUUCCUCUUAUGGAUGUGGGUGACAGAAGGGGAAUGGAUAUCGAACACCUGAAGGUAAGGCCUUUGCACUUGUGCUGCCGAAGGAGCACGAGGUAAGGCCUUUGAAAUAGAGUGUGUUCGUUGCUACACUGGUUCCCUGUUAUAGGCGCACUUUUCCACGGAUGAAUAUUAUUUCAUUGGAUACAUGUACCACAUAUUCUUUAUCCAUUUAUGCUGUUGAUGGAUGCUCACAAGUCUCUCAUGUCUUACAUAUUGAGAAUAAUACUGUAGUGAGUAUAUGGGAUGAGUAUGUGUCUUUGACAUAGUGGCUUCCUUUCCUUUAUAUCAAUGCCCAGAUACGGGAUUGAUACAUCAUAUAGGAGCUCAAUUAUUAAUUUUUUGAGAGGCCAUCCUACUGUUCUCCGUAGUGCUACCUAAUGUAGUGCUGUCAGGUGGUCAGACUCCCUAUACAAAGAAUCUGAAAGAGUACGUCUACCAUGCAGAGCGAUGGCCUACUAGGAUUCACUGGGAAUCCUCAUGUUGUGUAUGGGAAUGUGGUUGGAAUUGUAUCCAUGCGUUUCCAUCUAAACUUCCUGCACUCUUCCAGUGAUCAUACCUUGCCCGUGGCAAGAAGACGAGCGGUGUGUGGGUGCUGUCAAUGAACCUUCCAUGAGGCAGGGGACGUUUAGAUUGUCACGGACAUGAGCUGAUGAGCUGGAUGUCCGGGAGCCUCCUGGGUCAGGUGUCCAGGGUGGAGGAUUAAUCCUUCCGCCUUUGUUUCUAUACAUCAUUUCAGGCCCUUCAUUUCUCGCGAUUAGUGAAACCUAGGGUCCAGAAGGGAUAUAUGAGUAAACUCUGGGAGUGUAAUGAAACUUGAAAGGGGGUGGGUAGAGUGUCUUCGUGUGAAAGUGUGGUAGGCAUUGUGGGUUCAGGGGCAAUGGCAGCAUCUGGCGACUGGGCAGAUAUUAGUUCCCAGGGAAGAAAUGGGUCCUGUCUGGUUCUCUGGCCUCCAAUGCAAAGAAACUAAGAGUAUGUCUACCAUGGAGAUCAAUGGCCUCCUAGGAAUCGUUAGGAAUCCUCAUUUUGUGGAUGGGAAUGUGGUUGGAAUCGUAUCCAAGCGUUUCCAUCUAAGCUUUCUGCACUCUUCUGCUGACCAUACUCUGCACAUGGCGGGAAGAUGAGCGGCGUGUGGGUGCUGUCAAUGAACCUUCCAUGAGGCAGGGGACGUUUAGAUUGUCACGGACAUGAGCUGAUGAGCUGGAUGUCCGGGAGCCUCCGGGGUCAGGUGUCCAGGGUGGAGGAUUAAUCCUUCCGCCUUUGUUUCUAUACAUCAUUUCAGGCCCUUCAUUUCUCGCGAUUAGUGAAACCUAGGGUCCAGAAGGGAUAUAUGAGUAAACUCUGGGAGUGUAAUGAAACUUGAAAGGGGGUGGGUAGAGUGUCUUCGUGUGAAAGUGUGGUAGGCAUUGUGGGUUCAGGGGUGUGUCCCCUGCCUUUCUCCCUUCUCAUGCACUACCCUGGGGUCAGCAUAACUGGGGGCGAGGAGACAACGGACAUUGGUGGAUGUGACAUGAGAAACUAUGCCAGUCUUGUUGAGUUGACACGUUCAUUAGGAGAAGAGGGUGUUGUUUUCCACGUUCCACGUGGAGUGUGGGUUUGCCAGCAGGCACGGCUCUGCUGUUUCAUCCUUACUCUGUGGUACCACGGGCCUGUGAAGGAAGGCCACGGGGUAGGGUGGGUCGUCCUUCCCCCUGCUGUCUUGUUGCAGGUGACAAUAACCUGAGGCCUUUCUGAGAAGGAACUGCUGUUGCUUAUGCCUCUUUUAUCCUCCAGGGACAUCUUCUUCCAUUGUCCCGGAUCUGUGUUGGCUCUUGGGCACUGCUUGUGGUGUUUGCUUCCCCCUCCCUGUGUCAGGAGGCUGGGUUUUAAAACUGGCAAGAGGCUUGUUUAGCUUUUCAAAAGGUUUGCGAAGAGGCAGAGAGCACACAAUGAUAUGUUUUCCAAAGUCCAUGUUCCCAGAGAAGGGAACGGGGAGGUCGUGUCCUCCUUUCAAUGGAGAUAGUUUAGCUCUUUUUUCUUAUUUUCUUUGCCCCUAUGCCAUGCCCCCAUGAGAGACCAGGCCCCCUUGCUACCCACAGUCCCACCCCGACUGGUGAGUCCCGAGGACUGGCCAAAGUUAGGCCUGUGCAUAGAGCUUCCUCUAGAGCAUCUGUGCCAAGAGUACCUUCACCUGAAGGUUAAGAUGCAUGAGUAGUGGCUUGUACUCUGGCCUGCUUCUGUUCCUGCCCGUGCCUGUGCCCUCAGGGGCUUCUCUGUGAUCCAGAGAGUCAACUGCAAUGAUCAAGGAAAGUACAAACCUUGUUAAGAGAGGAUUUCAGUCACUAUGCUGGUGUCAUUGGUCCGCUGGAAGUUGAGCUGUACUGUCCCUCUCGCGGCCUCUCUUUCUUGAGUGUCCUGGAGGAGCUGAGGUGUGAUCUGUCUUUCUUGUGGCACACAGGACCUGACAGAAUACUUGGUAGGAGGGGAGGACUCGGAGCCUGUGUGAUGGAUACUUAGUGCACAGGCCUCUCGAAAUGGGCGGGAGGAACGUGCAAAACGUGUGCACUCCUGGACAGUUUACGUGGUGGCAUCUAGGCCCGUCUGCAUUUGAGCUUACCCCCCCAUCCAUUGUGCCCACUCAAGGAGCAGCAUAUAUGGAUUGGACCCCUGCCAAGCAGACCACCUGCCGGGUGAGAUUAGGGUUGGCCUUCUGAGCUUGCCUGGUCUCUUCUCAUUCAUAUGCAGACCCACUGUAAGGCUUCUUUCCAGCUUCGGAAAAGAAUAUCAGUGGGAUGAGGUCAGUGACUCUGGAGGAGACUCACUGACUGCCUCAGUCUCCCCCAUCAGUCAGACACAGCGGCCUCACAGAAUGCCGAAAGGCCUGGUGUAGAUGCCACUCUACCCUCCGGGUAGAUGACGGGUUGUGCCGUUGGGGUGCCGACCCGUAGGAUGUGGUAUAUGGUUAAAGCCGCAAGGAGACACCAGGAGUUCUCCUCCAGAGCUCAGAGUAAAUGCAUACGGAAACAGUUGCCCUCUUAGGGUAGGUCUUCUGCCUUUGGUUGUCUUCUUAUUACAAAGAAAAAUACUGAUUAGUGAGGGUGAAAUGUAACAUUGGAGGGGGCAGUUACGCUUAUGAUAUAAUUGAUGGUGAUGGUUGAUACAUGGAUGUAUACUGAUCCCUCAACUCAUUAGGUUGUAUACAUUAACUAUGUACAGCUUAUCGUAUGUCACUCGUACGUCUCCAUACCUCAGUAAAGUGGUUGAAGAAAUAAUAAAAAAAGAGCCUCCCAUGAGUACAGAUGAGUGUUCCCCUCAAAUGGUUUUAGAUCUUCAAACUGAAGGGGAAGGAAGUGUCUAUACAGGGAAAAGGGAGAUUACUGCUCCUUCCUUAUUGUUUUGCCUUGCUUGUUCCCUUUAUAUGUCGCAUUUGCAUUGGCGAUGUACAAGGGUGACCUUUAUUGUCCAUAGGAUUUUAAAUUUCGUUGACUUGCAGCAGUGCUACAGAAGCCAUGAACUUCCCCUGGAGGAUUUGGACUCAAGGAGUGGCCCCGUGACAUCAGCAAUUCGUCAUAUGACAAGACAUGGACACUGGGUUAAUGUGAUUUUGGUAUUGGCGUGCGUUUGGUAUGUUGUCAUUGUUUACAAUUUGUGUUUUUGUGCUUGUGCAAGUAAUCUUGCAAACUAUUUUGCAUAUGAUAACAUGUCAAACCAUGUAUGUACAGUGUAUUUUUCUCCUACGGGGUGGAGGGCCGUAGUUUCAGGCUGAUUGGUCUUUCCAGUCGGCACAUUUUCUCUGAGCGUGUCCCAAACCCUUCUGUCUACUGUAUGACCCAGUUCACUUGCCACAGGUACUUGCUUUGAUGCUUUUCACCUAUCAUAGUUGAGCCAAUGAUACUUUUGUUGUAUUUAGAGUUUGGGACUAGACCCCAAGAAUGUGUGAUAUCGUGGGGGCGCCUCCCUGGCUCAGUCAGUAGAGCAUGUGACUGUGGAUCUUGGGGUUGUUAAGUUCGAGCCCCACAUUGGGUGUGGGGAUUACUUCAAAAAAAAAUUAUUACAGGGGCACCCGGGUCACUCAGUCUGUUGAGCGUCCAAGUCUUGAUCUGAGGUCAAUUCUUGAUCUCAGGGUCUUGAUCUCAGGGUUGUGAGUUCACGCCUCAUUUUGGCCUCCACUCUGGGCAUGAAGCUUAAAUUAAAUAAAUAAGUAAACAAAUAUCGUUAUAGAAAAAGAAUGAGUGAUAUCUUUUUUUUUUAAUUUUUUUAAUGUUUAUUUAUUUAUUUUUGAGACCGAGAGAGAUACAGCAUGAACGGGGGAGGGUCAGAGAGAGAGAGGGAGACACAGAAUCAGAAGCAGGCUCCAGGCUCUGAGCUGUCAGCCUAGAGCUCGACGCGGGGCUCGAACUCACGGACUGUGAGAUCAUGACCGGAGCCGAAGUCAGACGCUUAACCGACUGAGCCACCCAGGCACCCCACGAAUGAGUGAUAUCUUGAAAAGGCUAGUUAAUAUCCUUUCACUGCAAGCAAUAUCAUUGAGAAGACAUACUGUUGAGUUUCCCUGAGCUAUGCUCACUUCCGUCUUUAAAAUGUAUUUCUUGCUUAAGUAUCUUGCAUUUUGUAAAAUACUUGUGUUCUUCCAAUAAAAUUUAUGUGCUUCAGAAAA